AGAGUUUGAUCCUGGCUCAGGAUGAACGCUAGCUACAGGCUUAACACAUGCAAGUCGAGGGGAAACGAUAUUGGAAGCUUGCUUCCGAUAGGCGUCGACCGGCGCACGGGUGAGUAACGCGUAUCCAACCUGCCCAUCACUUGGGGAUAACCUUGCGAAAGUAAGACUAAUACCCAAUGACGUCUCUAGAAGACAUCUGAAGGAGAUUAAAGAUUUAUCGGUGAUGGAUGGGGAUGCGUCAGAUUAGCUUGUUGGCGGGGUAACGGCCCACCAAGGCUACGAUCAGUAGGGGUUCUGAGAGGAAGGUCCCCCACAUUGGAACUGAGACACGGUCCAAACUCCUACGGGAGGCAGCAGUGAGGAAUAUUGGUCAAUGGACGAGAGUCUGAACCAGCCAAGUAGCGUGCAGGAUGACGGCCCUAUGGGUUGUAAACUGCUUUUAUAAGGGAAUAAAGUGAGCCUCGUGAGGCUUUUUGCAUGUACCUUAUGAAUAAGGACCGGCUAAUUCCGUGCCAGCAGCCGCGGUAAUACGGAAGGUCCGGGCGUUAUCCGGAUUUAUUGGGUUUAAAGGGAGCGUAGGCCGGAGAUUAAGCGUGUUGUGAAAUGUAGACGCUCAACGUCUGCACUGCAGCGCGAACUGGUUUCCUUGAGUACGCACAAAGUGGGCGGAAUUCGUGGUGUAGCGGUGAAAUGCUUAGAUACCACGAAGAACUCCGAUUGCGAAGGCAGCUCACUGGAGCGCAACUGACGCUGAAGCUCGAAAGUGCGGGUAUCGAACAGGAUUAGAUACCCUGGUAGUCCGCACGGUAAACGAUGGAUGCCCGCUGUUGGUCUGAAUAGGUCAGCGGCCAAGCGAAAGCAUUAAGCAUCCCACCUGGGGAGUACGCCGGCAACGGUGAAACUCAAAGGAAUUGACGGGGGCCCGCACAAGCGGAGGAACAUGUGGUUUAAUUCGAUGAUACGCGAGGAACCUUACCCGGGCUUGAAUUGCAGAGGAAGGAUUUGGAGACAAUGACGCCCUUCGGGGCCUCUGUGAAGGUGCUGCAUGGUUGUCGUCAGCUCGUGCCGUGAGGUGUCGGCUUAAGUGCCAUAACGAGCGCAACCCCUCUCCUUAGUUGCCAUCAGGUUAAGCUGGGCACUCUGGGGACACCGCCACCGUAAGGUGUGAGGAAGGUGGGGAUGACGUCAAAUCAGCACGGCCCUUACGUCCGGGGCUACACACGUGUUACAAUGGCAGGUACAGAG
rnacentral:rRNA from 1 species